AAGUCGUAACAAGGUUUCCGUAGGUGAACCUGCGGAAGGAUCAUUAACACGUAUCCAACGUUAAAACCCCCGUGAACUUUCAAUCCUGCUCUUGUAACCCGCGGUAAAUCAUAGCCCGGAAAGUUGUUUUGAUUCAGAGACCUCUGGCUACGUGAGAACAUUGGAACAGUUACAAUCGAGCGGUAGUUUCAUAGGCAUUGUUUCCCCAAGCAGUCAGUGUCGGAAAGUGUCACUGAUUGUGCAAGGAUAGCGCUUCACGAUUCCUGUAGACCGUACACUCGGGCAGGAGCUAUGCCAAAGGGUCCCCAUGCCCCCUUAUAACCCCACAGUUUAAUGUAAAGCUCAAUGUAAUACAUUGGGUAAAAAAACCGAACAACUGUUAACAAUGGAUAUCUUGGUUCUC
rnacentral:misc_RNA from 1 species